rnacentral:rRNA from 1 species
GACGAACGCUGGCGGCGUGCUUAACACAUGCAAGUCGAACGGAAAGGCCCUGCUUUUGUGGGGUGCUCGAGUGGCGAACGGGUGAGUAACACGUGAGUAACCUGCCCUUGACUUUGGGAUAACUUCAGGAAACUGGGGCUAAUACCGGAUAGGAGCUCCUGCUGCAUGGUGGGGGUUGGAAAGUUUCGGCGGUUGGGGAUGGACUCGCGGCUUAUCAGCUUGUUGGUGGGGUAGUGGCUUACCAAGGCUUUGACGGGUAGCCGGCCUGAGAGGGUGACCGGCCACAUUGGGACUGAGAUACGGCCCAGACUCCGACGGGAGGCAGCAGUGGGGAAUAUUGCACAAGGGGCGGAAGCCUGAUGCAGCAACGCCGCGUGCGGGAUGACGGCCUUCGGGUUGGAAACCGCUUUCGCCUGUGACGAAGCGUGAGUGACGGUAAUGGGUAAAGAAGCACCGGCUAACUACGUGC